UGGAUGUCCAAUCAUCAACUUCCUAAUGUAGCUUAAUAAGAGGUUUUUGCAAGGUAGGUGGUGUAGGCUAUUUACUACCUUUUGAGUUUAGCUCCACUCCGGGCCGCCAUCAGGGGGUGACAACCAUGACUGUUGUCACGGGCCCGGCAGCCCCACGUGUAGCAGCGGAACUGCCGCCGGUGCAGUUGCACCGGGGCCCGCACGCUGUUGGGGCCUAUCGGGUGACCUAUGCACUUAGGGCCACCCGAUGGGCCCUAUAUCUUCACAAAUACAAAUACCAAGCUCACUUAUCUGUAUGGAUCAUUUUGACUCCCACGCUUUCAGGGGUCUGCCAUACUUAUCCAUUCAUUCAAAUGGACUCAGCCUACAUUACAGGCCUCAUUUCUAUGUUAUAACUACAACACAUAUAUAAGGAUAC